rnacentral:tRNA from 1 species
UGCGGGGUGGAGCAGUCUGGCAGCUAAAGCUCGUCGGGCUCAUAACCCGAAGGUCGCAGGUUCGAAUCCUGCCCCCGCUACCA